ensembl:lncRNA
CGCAACUCUCAGAAUGGCCACAAAGGGGCGCGAGUCUCAGACUGGCCGGGAAGGAGCGUAAAUGGGCUCCGAUGGCCUCGGGCGUUGGUUACGGGGUUGGGUUAGCCCUGCGGUACAAACAAACAAAGCAAAGCUAACCCAACCCCGUAAGCAAGGCAAAGCUAAAGGCAAUUUGGCUGAGAUCAAUUGUUUGCAAAGCUAAAGCCAAUUUGGGCAAGAUCAAUUGACUGCACCUGCCAAAAUCGGCGCAACUCUCAGAAUGGCCACAAAGGGGCGCGAGUCUCAGACUGGCCGGGAAGGAGCGCAAAUGGGCUCCGAUGGCCUCGGGCGUUGGUUACGGGGUUGGGUUAGCCCUGCGGUACAAACAAACAAAGCAAAGCUAACCCAACCCCGUAAGCAAGGCAAAGCUAAAGCCAAUUUGGGCAAGAUCAAUUGAUUGCAAAGCUAAAGCCAAUUUGGGCAAGAUCAAUUGACUGCACCUGCCAAAAUCGGCGCAACUCUCAGAAUGGCCACAAAGGGGCGCGAGUCUCAGACUGGCCGGGAAGGAGCGCAAAUGGGCUCCGAUGGCCUCGGGCGUUGGUUACGGGGUUGGGUUAGCCCUGCGGUACAAACAAACAAAGCAAAGCUAACCCAACCCCGUAAGCAAGGCAAAGCUAAAGCCAA